GUACACCUACGGGGGGCAGCAGUGGGGGAUAUUGCACAAUGGGGGAAACCCUGAUGCAGCGACGCCGCGUGGAGGAAGAAGGUCUUCGGAUUGUAAACUCCUGUCCGAGGGGACGAUAAUGACGGUACCCUUGGAGGAAGCACCGGCUAACUACGUGCCAGCAGCCGCGGUAAAACGUAGGGUGCAAGCGUUGUCCGGAAUUACUGGGUGUAAAGGGAGCGCAGGCGGACUGUCAAGUUGGGAGUGAAAACUACGGGCUCAACCUGUGGCCUGCAUUUGAAACUGUAGUUCUUGAGUACUGGAGA
rnacentral:rRNA from 1 species